rnacentral:rRNA from 1 species
GAUGAACGCUAGCGGGAGGCCUAACACAUGCAAGCCGAGCGGUAUUUGUCCUUCGGGACAGAGAGAGCGGCGUACGGGUGCGGAACACGUGUGCAACCUGCCUUUAUCUGGGGGAUAGCCUUUCGAAAGGAAGAUUAAUACCCCAUAAUAUAUCGAAUGGCAUCAUUCGAUAUUGAAAACUCCGGUGGAUAGAGAUGGGCACGCGCAAGAUUAGAUAGUUGGUGAGGUAACGGCUCACCAAGUCAGUGAUCUUUAGGGGGCCUGAGAGGGUGAUCCCCCACACUGGUACUGAGACACGGACCAGACUCCUACGGGAGGCAGCAGUGAGGAAUAUUGGACAAUGGGUGAGAGCCUGAUCCAGCCAUCCCGCGUGAAGGACUAAGGCCCUAUGGGUUGUAAACUUCUUUUAUACUGGGAUAAACCUACUUACGUGUAAGUAGCUGAAGGUACAGUAUGAAUAAGCACCGGCUAACUCCGUG